AGAAACGUCCAAGGAAUCGUGAAUCUCAAGACGUGGAUGUGAAAAUCACCAAAAAAAUAGCUCUUUCCAACACUCAAGACAAAGGCAUCUUAGAAAAGGAGUGUGCCAAAGUAACUGGUGGAAUGAGCAAAA